rnacentral:lncRNA from 1 species
CCUCAAGAUAACAAUCUUGAAUGUGUUCAAUAUAGUUUUCGAAAUUAAAUAAAUAAUCAACAUCAUCCAUCAAUUUUGAAUUUCGAUUUCUUUCAUAACAUAGACCAAUUGUAAUUUGCUUUGAAUAUAACCAAUAACAUGGUUAAUAUCAUUUAAAAUUCUCCUUUUUGGAGAAACAUUAAAUCUUGCUAGCAAGUCAACUUCGAAUUGUAUACCAUGCAUGAUAAAAGUAGUGCUUCAAUAACACACAAGUAAGGAACUUCGGGUCCUAAAUAACUUCGUUAUUUUCUUUUGGUCUAGGUGUGUCUUUAUCAACUUCAAGUGAUAGAAUAAUCAUUUGAUAGUUAAAAGGAUGUGUUAUUAUUCAAAAUCUUCUUUGGGUAGGUCGACUAAUACAUAUAAAAUAUAGUCGAUUGGUUUGAAAUACUCCAAUGGGGUGAUUCUCAAUCUUCAAGUCGAGACAAUACUUA